rnacentral:rRNA from 1 species
GAUGAACGCUGGCGGCGUGCCUAAUACAUGCAAGUCGAGCGAACAGACGAGGAUCUUGCUCCUCUGACGUUAGCGGCGGACGGGCGAGUAACACGUGGAUAACCUACCUAUAAGACUGGGAUAACUUCGGGAAACCGGAGCUAAUACCGGAUAAUAUAUUGAACCGCAUGGUUCAUUAGUGAAAGACGGUUUUGCUGUCACUUAUAGAUGGAUCCUCGCCGCAUUAGCUAGUUGGUAAGGUAACGGCUUACCAAGGCACCGAUGCGUCGCCGCCCUGAGAGGGUUGUCGGCCAAACUGGAUCUAGGACACGGUCCAGACUCCUCCGGGAGCAAGCAGUAGGGAAUCUUCCGCAAUUGGCGAAAGCCUGAGGGAGAAACGCCGAGGCAGUGACGACGGUCUUCUGAUCCUAAAACUCUGUUAUGAGGGAAGAACAAAUGUGUAAGUAACUAUGCACGUCUUGACGGUCCCUAAGCAGAAAGCGACGGCUAACUACGUG